CCUACGGGAGGCAGCAGUGAGGAAUAUUGGUCAAUGGACGUAAGUCUGAACCAGCCAUGCCGCGUGCAGGAUGACGGCUCUAUGGGUUGUAAACUGCUUUUGUGCGGGGGUAAAAAGCGAUACGUGUAUUGUGUUGUAAGUAUCGCACGAUUAAGGACCGGCUAACUCCGUGCCAGCAGCCGCGGUAAUACGGAGGGUCCGAGCGUUAUCCGGAUUUAUUGGGUUUAAAGGGAGCGUAGGCGGUUUGUUAAGCGAGCGGUGAAAUCCCCGGGCUCAACGUGGGAACUGCCGUUGAAACUGGCUUACUGGAGUGCGUGAGAGGAAUGUGGAAUUCCAGGUGUAGGGGUGAAAUGCGUAGAUAUCAGGAGGAACACCAGUGGCGAAGGCGACUAUCUGGAACGUAACUGACGCUGAGGCGCGAAGGCGUGGGUAGCGAACAGGAUUAGAUACCCUGGUAGUC
rnacentral:rRNA from 1 species